rnacentral:rRNA from 1 species
CCCUUAGAUGUUCUGGGCCGCACGCGCGCUACACUGACGAAGUCAGCGAGCAUGUCCUACGCCGACAGGUGCGGGGAAUCUUGUCAAACUUCGUCGUGAUGGGGAUUGAUUAUUGAAAUUCUUGAUCAUCAACGAGGAAUUCCUAGUAAGCGCAAGUCAGCAGCUUGCGUUGAUUACGUCCCUGCCCUUUGUACACACCGCCCGUCGCACCAAUCGAUUGAGGUAUCUGGUGAAAAUGCAGGAAACCUCUGUGGCAUGCUUCAUUGCAAGCCGUAGAAGAUGAGUGCAUUUAAACCAGGCGCCUUAGAGAAUGGUGAAGUCGUAACA